GACGGAGGGUGCAAGCGUUAUCCGGAUUCACUGGGUUUAAAGGGUGCGUAGGCGGGCAGGUAAGUCCGUGGUGAAAUCUCUGAGCUUAACUCAGAAACUGCCAUGGAUACUAUUUGUCUUGAAUGUUGUGGAGGUAAGCGGAAUAUGUCAUGUAGCGGUGAAAUGCUUAGAUAUGACAUAGAACACCAAUUGCGAAGGCAGCUUACUACACAAAUAUUGACGCUGAGGCACGAAAGCGUGGGGAUCAAACAGG
rnacentral:rRNA from 1 species